GUGAGACGUGUACUUCAACAUGUCUCAGCAGCCUGAACAGUUUACGGAAGGGCAAAUAAGUACCGUAAAAAGUUGUAUAGUUCUUUAGGACAUGAGCCAUAAGCAGUAUCAUAAUCGUUUACUGGUAGAUAGGAAGUGGAUACAAAUCGGCACAGAUUUAGGAGAAACAAAGGAAGCGGUUAAAUCAAAAUGUAAGAACCUGCGUGAUAAUUUUAGAAGGGAGUUUAAAAAGAUCCUCAAAAGUUGCUCGGGAGAUGGCAGUGAUCAAGAUCCAGUUCAUCCAGGAUCGUGGGCGCACUUCGAUUCAAUGCUGUUGCUGAAAGCUGUUUUUACACCAAGGAAUACCCAGGACAAUUAUCUGAAAGUACAGUUUCUCAACGCUCUCAACUAGAAGAUGACGAAAAUACCUCGCAGUCACAAAGUUAUCAACUUACCCAGUUUGAAGAGGACCAACUGCCAGAAAUUCCACAGAAGACACAGCUACAAAAGGAGAUAGACAAUGAGUUACCUAAUCAAGAUAGACCAAUUACACCCAUUGAAAUACGUAAAAAACGUAAGCCACUAAAUAAUGCUAAAUCACUUUGAACAAGAAAUGCUGGACCUCGAGAAGAAAAAAGUCGAUUUAUUAAACAAAGCUGAUAAUGAUGAUGAUAAAGAUAUAAAUUUUUUCAAAUCUUUACUUCCUCAUGUAAGACUCCUUCCUCCAAUAAAGAAGCCUUCCGUAGUGCAGUGCAAAACCUGUUAAUAAAUUCAAUUGUUGAAGUUAAGAAGCAGAAUUAAUUUUCUGCCCAGAAUACAGUUAAACAGUCUCAGGGGUUUCCGGCGUACCGUCUUUUCAUAUUUCUCAAGUAUCAAUAGUUCAGAAUGGACAUCAAUUUUCAGGUCAUAUUUAACAUGGCGAUCUGGGCAUCACUUGCGUACCACCUGUGCAUCCCUCUCCAGCAGGAUCUUAUAUCUCGUCAAGUUCAAGAACAUCUCAUUAUUCCGAUAACGACCAAUUCCACAAUACAAAUGUGACUCAUCAUUAAUAAUUCAUAUGUAUCAUAGAAAUCAAUAAAACAAUUUUAAAGUUA